CACGUAGGGCGCAAGCGUUGUCCGGAAUUAUUGGGCGUAAAGAGCUCGUAGGCGGUCCGUCACGUCCGUUGUGAAAACCCAGGGCUCAACCCUGGGCUUGCAGUGGAUACGGGCAGACUAGAGGUAGGUAGGGGAGAAUGGAAUUCCCGGUGUAGCGGUGAAAUGCGCAGAUAUCGGGAGGAACACCGGUGGCGAAGGCGGUUCUCUGGGCCUGACCUGACGCUGAGGAGCGAAAGCGUGGGGAGCGAACAGG
rnacentral:rRNA from 1 species